UGGGGAAUAUUGCACAAUGGGCGCAAGCCUGAUGCAGCCAUGCCGCGUGUGUGAAGAAGGCCUUCGGGUUGUAAAGCACUUUCAGCGAGGAGGAAGGGUAAUGUGUUAAUAAGACAUUGCAUUGACGUUACUCGCAGAAGAAGCACCGGCUAACUCCGUGCCAGCAGCCGCGGUAAUACGGAGGGUGCAAGCGUUAAUCGGAAUUACUGGGCGUAAAGCGCACGCAGGCGGUUUGUUAAGUCAGAUGUGAAAUCCCCGCGCUCAACGUGGGAACGGCAUUUGAGACUGGCAAGCUAGAGUCUUGUAGAGGGGGGUAGAAUUCCAGGUGUAGCGGUGAAAUGCGUAGAGAUCUGGAGGAAUACCGGUGGCGAAGGCGGCCCCCUGGACAAAGACUGACGCUCAGGUGCGAAAGCGUGGGGAGCAAACAGG
rnacentral:rRNA from 1 species